rnacentral:rRNA from 1 species
CUACGGGGUGCUGCAGUGAGGAAUAUUGCACAAUGGGGGAAACCCUGAUGCAGCAACGCCGCGUGGAGGAUGACGCAUUUCGGUGUGUAAACUCCUUUUAUAUGUCAAGAAAAUGACGGUAGCAUAUGAAUAAGCACCGGCUAACUCCGUGCCAGCAGCCGCGGUAAUACGGAGGGUGCAAGCGUUACUCGGAAUCACUGGGCGUAAAGGACGCGUAGGCGGGUUGGAAAGUCAGGUGUGAAAUCCUACAGCUUAACUGUAGAACUGCACUUGAAACUUCUAAUCUAGAGUAUGGGAGGGGGAGAUGGAAUUAGUGGUGUAGGGGUAACAUCCGUAGAUAUCACUAGGAAUACCUAAAGCGAAGGCGAUCUCCUGGAACAUUACUGACGCUAAGGCGUGAAAGCGUGGGGAGCAAACAGGAUUAGAUACCCCCGUAGUC